UAUAGAUUUUUUAACACAACAUUCUAUUGACAUACAGGGUAAAUGAAGAAUCAACAUAGACACAGGAUGUGUCUACAAAAGGUGCACAGGUGGAGAUAUAAAGAUGACAAGGCGUGCACAUGCUUGAGCCAGCAACAGCCCAUCACACUUCGAUAAUGAUCCUUCCGCAGGUUCACCUACGGAAA
rnacentral:misc_RNA from 1 species